rnacentral:rRNA from 1 species
UACGUAGGUGGCAAGCGUUGUCCGGAUUCACUGGGCGUAAAGGGCGCGUAGGCGGCCUUGUCAGUCAGGCGUGAAAGCCCCGGGCUCAACCUGGGAACGGCGCUUGGGACGGCGAGGCUGGAGUUCGGUAGGGGAGACUGGAAUUCCUGGUGUAGCGGUGAAAUGCGCAGAUAUCAGGAGGAACACCGGUGGCGAAGGCGGGUCUCUGGGCCGAAACUGACGCUGAGGAGCGAAAGCGUGGGGAGCAAACAGG